UCACUUCUUCUUCCUUUAUCUCUUCUGCUGCCUCCCCAAUAAUUCCUUUGAUUUCCACGAAAAGCUUCUCUUGAAUUUGUGGGUACUUAACCAGAUUCGCCAUGAUCCAGUGCAAGGCCGUGGAGGUAGUGUCUAUGCCGGCGUUAAGAAAUUCGUUGCAUAAAGUAACAAUUUCAUCUUCGCUGAGCUUCCUUUUCUCAUGGGGGAGUUGAAGAUCUAGAAGUGUAUCAACAUAUGAUAAGAUAUAGUCGUCAUCUCCGUUGUUGGAUUUGCUCAAUUUCUCUUCCUUCACCUUCAUUCUUGCUCUAAUUAAUGGAAUUAAGACGUCUUCUCCAUCCUUCCGGAGAUGCAAAAACUGUGACCAGCAUUUGGGGAACACGAUUUUGGACAACCUUGGCCAGAAAUUGAGUAAAUUGAAUCUGCAACUAUUCAAAAGCAUAGCUCGCUCAACUCUCUCGACUUCUUCAAUCUGUUUCUGAUCAAGCUUAUCGCCAAAACACAUGAGAACUAGCAAGCAAAACAUGGCGUCUUGAAUACCAACCAAAACACGGACAGGAUUUCCAGAUUUUGACUGCAAUUCAAAGCGGUUAAUGAGGAUUUGCAGUCCCGCUUUCGAGCGUAAAAAUAAGACUUCACUCUUGAAGGAUGAAUUAGAAUGAAUUAGCUUCUAAGCCAGAGUGUUGGGUAAUGGAAUUGAGCUUGUUGAGCUUGGGAAUUAAAUUAUUCACAAAUAAUUAAAUUCAUUAGAAUUUAAUCAUACAUUUUAUAUUUUAGAAUUCAAGAUAAGUGGAGUUUAUUAAAUAUAAAUCCAUCAGGAACAGAGCUUGUAGUUGACAUUUGUAUAGACCUGGGAGAUAUACAAGCCUGCAAUGGAUACUGCAUCCCCACUGAAAACUCCAGCUGCUCCGACAGAUCUACUUCGUCUCCUUUCAAUUUCUUCCAUUCAUAACUCCACACCAAAUUCGCCACAAAAUACUCCAGGUGAAACAUUGCCAAACUAUACCCAGGACAAAUCCUCCUUCCUGAUCCAAAUGGCAUCAUCUUUAUCUCUUUGACACCUGUUACAUCCACCAUUUCUCCAUCACAGCUCAUGAACCUCUCUGGUUUAAAUUCCAUCGGAUCCUCCCACACCUUUGGAUCCCUCCCCAUCUCUGCUACCAUGAAGUUUAUUGUCCCAUUCUUUGGCACCAGGUACUUGUCAAUCACUGUAUCUUCAGUCACCACAUGUGGAACCACCAUGUGUGCUGGUGGAUGCCGUCGUAGUCCUUCCAAAAUCACAGCUUUUAAAUAUGGCAUCUUUUGCAAAUCUUCUUCUUUGAUCAAUUCUUCUCCUUCUCCUACAACUUCUUUGAUUUUCCUGAAUAGCUUCUCUUGGAUUUGUGGGUACUUUACCAAAUUCGCCAUGAUCCAUUGCAGAGCUGUAGUGGUAGUCUCUGCGCCUCCGCUGAGAAAUUCUGAGCAUAAACUAACAAUUUCACCUUCUUCCAGCUUCCUUUUCUCCACUGGAAGUUGCAAAUCGAUUAAGGAAUCAACAUAGCACAGCACAAACUCUCCCUCUUUAAUCUUGCUCAAUCCCUCUUCCUUCAACUCUUUUCUUGCUCUUAUUAGAGGAAUCAAUGUGUUUUCUUGAUCUUGGCGAAUUUGCAAGUAUUUUUUCCAUAUAUUUCUAAACACAACCAUUGUCACACUUGGGCAGAAGCUGAAAAUAUUGAAUCCCACAAAAUUGGAAAGAAAUCGACGAUGGGCGACCUCAAUCUUCUCAAUGUCAUCUUCACCAACCUUGUCGCCGAGACACAUGACGGCUAACAAGCAGAACAUGGCAUGUUGAAGAUGGUUCAUUACACAGAUCCUUCCGCUGCCUCUGAACUCAGAUUCAAGACGAUCUUUAAGUAAUUGCAGAACCCAUUUACGAGAAUGUGAGUAGGACUUGACCCGCAAAGGGUGGAGGAUUUCCGAGGCGAGGUUUCUCCGUAGGAAGCGCCAUGUCGAUCCAUAGGAAGCAGAACUGAUAGUGCGCUGAUUGCUGGUGUUUAUCUUUUCGAUUCCACGUGCAGGAGGGCGAUCAGCGAAGACGGCACCGUUUUGGACUAAGGCUUGGUGGGCGAGACGGCGGUCGGCGACGAAGACGGCUGGAAGAGAGCCGAUGUGGAGAGUGAGAAUUGGACCGAAUUUGGAGUGGAGAGAGCUGAUAGCAAGGUGGAGAUCGUAGAGAGAAGUGGUGAGCCAGAGUAAGCUGCCGAUGACGGGAAAUUUGGGAGGGCCAGGAGGGAGCUUGUGGCUGGAGAUCUUGGUUGAAAAGAGAAGAUUGAAGAGAAUCUUUGUGAGGACAGAGAUUGAGAUGGUGAUGAGCAAGAUGAACCAAGCUUCCAUAAAAGCAAAAGCAAAGCUUUACUCUGCUAAGCCACCAGACUUUCACGAGACAUGGAAGUUGAAUUUUCUUGAUUUUGACCAGUGAAAACCCUAAUAAACCAUGAUCAAUUAGACAAAUACAUUCCAUUUUUUUUAAAAAAAUUAAUUUUAAAAAGAAUAUAGUAUACUUAUUUUAUAUAUUUAAGCAACAAUCAUUUAUUUAAUUAGCAAUUUAAUUAGAUUAAGAAAUGUAUAUUAGUUUAAGGUUUUUGUUUUUAUUAUACAUUUAAAUAUAUUUUUAUUUUUUUGAAAAAUAUAUAUAUUAAUAUAUGUUAUAAUAAUUAUAUAUUUACUCAAACCCUUAUUCAUAAAGCUUAAUUAUUGUUAAAAAUAUUUCUUAUUAUUUUUAUUAAUAAUAUUUCAAAAACUCUCACAAUAGCACUUUUAUUUUUUUAUUUUUAAUUUACUUAUAUUUUUAUUAAUUUAUAUCAAACACUCUCAAAUAUACUAUAAACAACUUAUCUAGAUAAUAAUAGAUAAAUCUUAUCAUAUUUUAUAAUUAAUUUUAAAUUAUUAAAAUUUUACAUAAUAGUAACUUUAUUUAUUUUAAUUAAUUAAAAUAAUGGUAAUUUAUAAUUAAUAUAAAUAUAAUUAUUUUAGGAAUUCUAAUGAGAAUAUACAUGACCAAGAAACCUUAGAGCUUAGUUUAAUAAAAUAAAAAAAAAAUAAUUAAAAUAAUAUGACCAAGAAACUAUAUUGAACACCAGAUAGUCAUAAAAUCUCCAGUACCAAAAGGUAACAUUGAAAUCUAUUAAGCAAUUCUACCACAAGUUUCCCAUUGAUGGGUUGGCUACUAAUGCUAACACUAUUUCAGCUUAUGUUUUUUAACCUGGAAGAUAAGAUGGCCUGCAAUGGAUUCUUCAUCACAACUGUGAACUCCUCCUUCUCAGACAAGUCAACAUCAUCUCCAUCCACAGCUUUCCACUCAAAUUUCCAAACCAAAUUAGCUACAAAAUACUCCAAAUGAAGCAUUGCUAAGCCAUAGCCAGGGCACAUCCUCCUUCCAACUCCAAAUGGCAUCAUCUUAAUCUCUCUGCUUCCUGUUAUAUCAAACACUUCUUCACUCCCCAUGAAUCUCUCUGGCUUGAAAGCCAUUGGAUCCUCCCACACCUUUGGAUCCCAACCCAUCUCUGCUACCAUGAAAUUUAUAGUCCCAUUUUUGGGCACUAAAUAGUUACCCAAUUUUGCAUCUUCAGUCACUGAGUGUGGCAGCACAAAAUGCCCUGGUGGGUGUCGCCUUAGUCCUUCUAAAACUACAGCUUUCAGAUAAGCCAUCUGUUGCACUUCUUCUUCUUUUAUCUCUUCUGCUGCGUCCCCAACAACCCCUUUCAUUUCCACGAAAAGCUUCUCUUGAAUUUGUGGGUACUUGACCAGAUUCGCCAUGAUCCAUUGCAAGGCCGUGGAGGUAGUGUCUGUGCCGGCGUUAAGAAAUUCGUUGCAUAAAGUAACAAUUUCAUCUUCGCUGAGCUUUCUUUUCUCAUGGGGGAGUUGAAGAUCUAGAAGUGUAUCAACAUAUGAUAGGAUAUAGUCAUCAUUUUCGUUGUUGGAUUUGCUUAAUUUCUCUUCUUUCACCUUCAUUCUUGCUC
rnacentral:lncRNA from 1 species